rnacentral:tRNA from 1 species
GCGGACGUGGUGGAAGUGGUAUACACAUCAGACUUAAAAUCUGACGCCUUUCAAAGGCUUGCGGGUUCAAGUCCCGCCGUCCGCACCA